rnacentral:misc_RNA from 1 species
UUUAGGGAGACCUUCUGCAUUCCCACCGAAACCCAAAAAUUAAUCGGGGGAAUCAGAUAUCCUAAGGUCGUUACGAGACUAGACAAUUUCUGGCUUUCAAACUCUUUGUUCGGUUCAGCAUCAUGUUGAUGAACAUGGAGGCUCACCUGAACUAGCCCGAACUCAAGCCUGACAACUUUUCCGAAGUCGUCCUUUAAAUGAUGAAGACCCAAAGAACGGGUGAAUUUUACCCCUCUUUGGAACUUGGAAAAUGGCUCAAGAAAAAAAUCGAAGGGAAAACCCUUUAAAUGCCCACGGAAUUAGAAAGGCUUCCAAAAAGAAAAACCUUUGGGGGCCAGCCUCCAAGGGCUUAACGUGGAAUCCCUAGCACAAAACACAGCAACUUAUCUGAAGUCAUCUAUCAAAUAUAGAGACCAGAAAGACUGCUGGAUUUUAACCAGCUUUUGAACCUUGAAAACUGCAUAAAGAAAAGAAUCAAAGGGAAAACCUUUUAAAUCCGAAGGGAUUUAGAAGGCAUCCAAAAAAGAAGACCUUUUGUGGUCAAGCUACAAAGGGCUAACGGUGGAUACC